AUGAGGAGUUUAGGAGCUUCUCCAGGUUUCUGUAAGUACCAGCAGAGUAAAGGCAACAUCUCUCCUAAAGUGAGCGUCCUGCCCCCCUCCAGUGAAGAGAUUUCCACAAAGAACACAGCAACACUGAUGUGUGUGGCCAACAAGGGCUUCCCCUCAGACUGGAGCCUGAGCUGGAAGGUGGACGGGAUCAGCAGGUCUCAGGAGAGCAGUGCUGGGGUCCUGGAGAAGAACGGUCUGUACAGCUGGAGCAGCAGCCUGACUCUCUCUAAGCAGGAGUGGAUCAAGGGGGUCUCAGUGAGCUGUGAGGCCAGCAGGAGAGACCAGCAGCCGCCAGUCACUGGAGAAGUGAGGAGAGAUCAGUGUUCAGAGUAG